GAUGAACGCUGGCGGCGUGCCUAAUACAUGCAAGUCGAGCGAACAGAUGAGGAGCUUGCUCCUCUGACGUUAGCGGCGGACGGGUGAGUAACACGUGGAUAACCUACCUAUAAGACUGGGAUAACUUCGGGAAACCGGAGCUAAUACCGGAUAAUAUAUUGAACCGCAUGGUUCAAUAGUGAAAGACGGUUUUGCUGUCACUUAUAGAUGGAUCCGCGCCGCAUUAGCUAGUUGGUAAGGUAACGGCUUACCAAGGCAACGAUGCGUAGCCGACCUGAGAGGGUGAUCGGCCACACUGGAACUGAGACACGGUCCAGACUCCUACGGGAGGCAGCAGUAGGGAAUCUUCCGCAAUGGGCGAAAGCCUGACGGAGCAACGCCGCGUGAGUGAUGAAGGUCUUCGGAUCGUAAAACUCUGUUAUUGGGGAAGAACAAAUGUGUAAGUAACCAUGCACGUCUUGACGGUACCUAAUCAGAAAGCCACGGCUAACUACGUG
rnacentral:rRNA from 1 species